rnacentral:rRNA from 1 species
AAACUUUCAACAACGGAUCUCUUGGCUCUGGCAUCGAUGAAGAACGCAGCGAAAUGCGAUAAGUAAUGCGAAUUGCAGAAUUUAGUGAAUCAUCGAAUCUUUGAACGCACAUUGCGCCCCUUGGUAUUCCGAGGGGCAUGCCUGUUCGAGCGUC